AUGCCACACGAGAGAAAGAUGUAUGAGAACAUAACAUUCCUGGCCAAUGUUGAAGGAUCCAAACCUACAGUUUUGAUUGGCAAAACCAUUGCCACAUUUGGACAGUUGGGUAACUCGAUGAAAAUAGGUGGCCGGGUCCAGGCCUAUGUCAUAAAUGUGUACUGUAGGCACCUAUUUAAUGAAAAUCAUCCUAGGAACUCACUCAAGCACUAUUUCUUCCACACUGCAUCUGAAUAUUUCCUGGGCAAAUGGAAAAAUGAUGAGGCAAGAAUUUGGUGGAGGAAGAAACUGAUUCGAGUUUCAUUGGAGCUGGAAAAGCACAUAAUCUUUCGAUGUCAGACAAGGCAGAUCUCAAGCUUUAUAUGCACUUGGUACGAAGCUCGGCUCCAGCCAAUGGAUUUCAAUGCAUUCCCUGCUGUUUACCCUAAAGUCCCUCAACAAGAUAACAAUAUUGAUUGUGGCAUUUUCACUAUGAAACUAAUGGGAUGGUGCCCAAGGAAUCCAACCCCUAUAGUUUUUUCACCAAAAGAUGUCCCAGAUGCAAGGAUCCGAUAUGCUGUUGAUCUCAUGUUCAGCCACUACAACACUUUGGAUGACGAGAAGAAGCGUGUGAAGGAGUUUCGCCUAUAG
rnacentral:rRNA from 1 species